UCAUCUACCACACAGUGAGGGAUACCGGCGAGAAAUCGCCGACAAUACCGCAUAGCUUGGCUCUCCUAAGAGGGAGCCAAGAAAGUCUUUGGACGCUGAGUGAUGAGCCUGCACCUGAUUAGUUAGUUGGUGGGGUAAAAGCCUACCAAGACUACGAUCAGUCGCUGGUCUGAGAGGACGAUCAGCCACACUGGGAUUGAGAACGGCCCAG
rnacentral:rRNA from 1 species